UUUGAGUAUUUUCUCCCUUAUAUUUUAAAAUCAAACACUUGUGGGGUACUAUAAAAUUUUUACACUUAUACCCCCUAUGAGGUAUAUUUGUAACUAAGGCCUCAUUUGUUUGCACUUAAUGGGGGUCUGAAUCUGAAUGGUUAAGAUUGCAGCCCAUUAAGUGCAUUUGUUUUUUUUUUUUUUUAAAUUAAUCUCGUAAUAGGUUCGGUAAUGUCUGAUUCGGUCAGAUGUGCGGAAGAGUUUGACCACUAUUCAGACUCUAUUUAAAGCCUAUUUUAUUUCCCCAAAAAAUCUCUAACGUCGUUUUUUUUCCCUCUAUUUACGCCUGAACACUCUCUUUCUCCAACAGCUUGGCUCUAUCUCUCUUUCUCCAACAACGUCUGCUCUCUCUUUCGCAUGUUUCUUCAAGUAACACUCGGCUGAAAUUCUUUGCUCUACUGUUAUGGAACAAGCUAGCGAAAAUUCAAGAGUGACUUGGAGAAUUGAGGUAGUAAAAACUUUUUUAGAAACUUGUAUUCAAGAAGUAUCGUUGAAUGGGAGACUUGGAAGUAAGCGAGAUUCAUGGAACAAGGUUAAGAUUGUUCUUAAGACUUCUCAAGGCUUUAUAGUCACACAAAAGAAGAUGAAGAACCAAUAUGAUUAUCUAAAAGAAACAUAUCAAGCUUGGUUGCCAAUAACUAAAAAGACUGGCAAUAUUUAUGAUCCAACAACCAAUACUAUUCGAAUGUCUAAUGAGGAGUGGGAUGAGUACAUAAAGGCUCAUCCAAAAGCAAGACAUUGAGGAGUGCCCCUCUACCCUUUCCGGAACUUCGUACAACAUUAUUUGAGGGUUCUACUGCAACAGGCAUUCAUGGUUGGAGUCCAAAUUGUACAACUCCGCGGCCUGGUGCCUCUUCCGUAUCUACUAAUAUAGAUAUAGAUUCACUUGAUGACAUUGAGGAUCUACUUGGGGAUAAAAAUGAUGGGGCUUCUAAAGAUUCUCCAUCUGAAUCUUCAAUCCCGAUUGAAAACAAGAAUUUGGGAAAGAAAAGAAAAACAAACAGUCUUAAUCAUUCAGUGUUCAGAUCUACAGAUCACAUCUUAAUAUUCAAAUGUGUAUUCAGACAUCUUAAUCUUAAAAAAAAAAAACAAAUGCAGCCUAAGUAUAUUAAAAUAUAAUUAUUAAAACGUAAACUACGCUUAUGUAUUCCAAUAUAUAAUUUAAUAAAGAAGAUAAACAAUUUUAUUGAAGAUCUUUAUUCACACAUUUGAAAUAAACAUUUUUGAAACAUAUAUCUUCAAAACCUAUAGCUAAGAAAUAAACACAAACUAAUAAGAUAUACCGACUAUUAAUAAAAACUUUCCUACAAUUUAAACAUGUAACUUACUUGUACUUUAUUAGUUAUAAUAUUCUACUA